rnacentral:rRNA from 1 species
UGGGGAAUUUUGCGCAAUGGGGGAAACCCUGACGCAGCAACGCCGCGUGGAGGAUGAAGUCUCUUGGGACGUAAACUCCUUUCGAUAGGGAAGAUAAUGACGGUACCUAUAGAAGAAGCCCCGGCUAACUUCGUGCCAGCAGCCGCGGUAAUACGAGGGGGGCAAGCGUUGUUCGGAAUUAUUGGGCGUAAAGGGCGCGUAGGCGGUUUGGCAAGUUUCGUGUGAAAUCUUCGGGCUCAACUCGAAGUCUGCACGGAAAACUGCCGGGCUUGAGUAUGGGAGAGGUGAGUGGAAUUUCCGGUGUAGCGGUGAAAUGCGUAGAUAUCGGAAGGAACACCUGUGGCGAAAGCGGCUCACUGGACCAUUACUGACGCUGAGGCGCGAAAGCUAGGGGAGCAAACAGG